rnacentral:rRNA from 1 species
GCCUGGGGAGUACGGUCGCAAGGCUGAAACUUAAAGGAAUUGACGGGGGAGCACCACAACCGGUGGAGGCUGCGGUUUAAUUAGAUCCAACGCAGAGCACUCUACCAGAGCCGACAGCAGAAUGAAGGUCAGCUUGAAGAGCUUACCCGACGCGCUGAGAGGAGCUGCAUGGCCGCCGUCAGCUCGUGCUGUGAAGUGUCCGGUUAAGUCCGGUAACGAGCGAGACCCACAUCUCAUGUUGCCAUGGAUCCGUUCGCGGAUUCGGCACUCGUGAGAGACCGCUGGUGAUAAACCAGGGGAAGGUGUGGGCCACGGUAGGUCAGUAUGGCCCGAAUGCUCUGGGAUACACGCGGCCUACAAUGACCGGGACAAAGAGAUGCGACUCCGAGAUGGAGAAGCUAAUCUCCUAAACCCGGCCUUAGUACGGAUCGAGCCCUGCAACCCGGGCUCGUGAAGGCGAAAUCGGUAGUAGUCGCUAAUCAUCAUUUAGCGGCGAAUAAGUCCCUGCUCCUUGUACACACUGCCUGUCAAGUCACCCGAGUCAGGUUCAGACGAGGACCACUCUUUGAGUGAGACAAGUCUGAGCUUGGCAAGGGGGGCUAAGUCGUAACAAGGUAGCCGU